CAGGGCGUAGCUAAGCAGCCAAAGCGUCGGCUCGGGGAGCCGGAGAUCGCAGGUGCAAGUCCUGUCGCCCUGA
rnacentral:tRNA from 1 species